AAACAAGUUCUGAUGCUUUGAGACCCUCGAAUGUCCCAGGGCUACUUUGGGGGACUCAGUCCCAAGCCCUGGUUCAUCAAUCUUCAUGGCAGCUGGGAGGCUCAGAGGGGAAGGGAAGUGUGUGUCACAGCUGUCAUAAGUGGUGGAGUUGGUGUUCUCGCUAGAUCUGUGUUACUCCAGAGCCCUGUCCCUUACCACCUGGAAGGUCAGUGGCCUUCACAGUCCUUUGAACAUGACUCUAUAAAACACAGACAAUUUCUCCCAUAUUACCCAGUGUACUCACAUACACAUUAACUACAGAGGAAGUUUCACCAACAAUACCUUUAUUGUAGUGUCUUAUAAUUGUAUUUUUGUUGUAUUCUAUUUCCUUUUAAAAAAUUUUAUGACCCACUAGAUUGUAACCCACUUUAUGACUCAGUUCUCAGUUUGGAAAACAUUUCACACACCCAUCUCCACGUGAGGAACUUUUCAUUGUUUACUGGGCCAUCCCGCCUGCCCUCUGAGGUGGGCAGCGGUGCCCCCAGUUUACAGAUGGGGAACUCUGAUUUGGGCAGCGCAGCCCCUAUAAUUCCCCGAGUUUUCCCUGACCACAGCUGUGAGUGUCUCCCAGCCUCUCUACCCCUGAAGCUCCCUUAGGGAAGCAGCAAUCUGCCUUGGUCCCUUUCAGUAUUCCCCAGUGGCUGCCAGGAGCCAACUCGAAUGACUUCACGAGUAAUAGGGUCAGGGUGCCAACUCCACCUCAGUCUCCACAGCUCACUCUUAGUUUGGCUGCUGUGACUCAUUGCAGUUUUCUUCAGCUUCUUUCCGGUGCCUCCUGCAAAUGCUGCCAAUGCUCAGGGACACGGUGCUCAAAGCCAGGCCCCCAAGAGCAGAGAAGAAUGAGACUUCAGCCACCCCCUCGGAGGCUCCCACAAUCUGGGAAGGAUGCUCCGAGGCUCCAGAGUCUUUGGGGACAAUGAGAAGAGAUGCCAGUGGCAGCUCUGGGGAGUCCCUCAGUGCUAAAGGCAAGGUGCUGAGAGCCCAGGGCCGUGCACAUGGCAGAAAUCUAGCUGCAGAUGGAGUCACAGAGCCAGGCAGAGUACAGGGUAGGGACAGGACCGGGAGGAGGAGCGGGGACAGGCACCACCAAGCCAAGGGCAGAGGCCAGGCCACCCAGAGGGCAGCCAGCAGAGUCCAGACCACUCCCCUGCAAAGCACGGACCAGUGAAUUCCUCAGGUGGACGGCAGCGAGCAAGAGCCCUGCCCUCCUCAGCAGCUUUGCCAGCAGCCACUGCCCCUACCUGCACCAUUAUGGACCGAACCCUGCCACCUCGUGUUUUAGUUUCUUCUGUGGAGAAAGUACACUAGUCUAGGGUUCUGAGCAAAGCAUAGAGCCAGCUUCUGUUUCCAGGAGCAUUGCAGGUUGGGUUACUUAGGUCAACCCUAAUGGUGGAAACAAUUGGAAAUGCGGAAUAAAUGAAAACAUCUUCUUAAAGGCGUUAAAGAGCUAUGAGUGACAAGCUACCAGGCCAACAGUCAAAUAAAAGGAAGAACCCUGGCAGCAUUGUAGCUCCUGGUGCCCUGUGGGUGUUUUUUACAUUACUGGGGCUUUGGGGGAGAAAAGAUAAAACCUAGCACUCAGUAAAGAUGGGUUAUUUAAGGAGGAUCUUCCCUCCUAACAGAGGACCUAUUAGAAUAUCAGAUGCAGAACAUGAAGCAGGGACACUUACUCUCUGAAAGGAAGAAAAAGACAUUUUUUCAUAACAUCUGCAGGGAACAAGAAAAUGUUUUUAGAAAGGGAGAGACUUCACAGAGAAGGAAAGAUUAUACCUAGAGACAAAAACCGUAAUAACACUCCACUGAUGCAUGUAAUAGCAGAUUAGACACAGCUGAAGAGAGAAUCAGUGAAUUAGAUGACUACAGCAAGGAAAGAAGAGAUGGGGAACAUAAAAGUUAGAAGACAUGAGAUAAAAAGGAUGUGAUAUACAUCAAAUUUGAAUUCCAGAUGAAGAAGAAUGAGGCAGAGACAAUAAUUCAGGAAGUAAUAUUUAAGAAUUUCUAAACUUGAAGAAAGACACCAUGGUUUUAAGAUCAACAAAUAAUAUAAAGGUUAAAUAUAGGAAAUUCACAUGUAGCUUCAUCAGAGUGAAACUGGAGACACCAAAGAAAAGAUUUUUAAAGCUGCUAGAGAAGGGGAAAAACUAGAAGACAGUUACUCUAAACAGGUGGGUUAGCAGCUGGCUUUCCCAGCCACUAUGGGUGCUGGAUGAUAUAGAGUAUUUUAGCAUGUGCUGAAGAAAGAUAGAUGCCAACCCAGAAUUCUGCAGCCAGUGAAACUGUCUUUCAAUAAUGAAGAAAAUUAAGGUUUUCAAAUAAAAGAGAAUAAGAAAUUGCCACCAGAAAUGUCUCACUAAAGGUAACUAAAAGAUACAUUUUGAAUAUAAAAACACCAACACACAGUCAGGGUUAAAUGGAUUUAAAAUGCUCUAAGUCCCUUAUAUAGUCCAGAAGGAAAGUAAAUGUUUCGAUUCACUUUUAUUUCUUUUCUUUUCUUUUUUUUGGUACCAGGGAUCGAACUCAGGACCUUGUGCUUUCGAAGCAGGCAUGGAACCACUGAGCUAAAUCUCUGGCCCUGAUCUUGGCUGCUACAAAGCAAGCUGUUUCCGCUGCCACAGGCCCCUGCACGUGCAUUCUGUCUCACUUCAGACUCAGAGCAUCAAGGCCAAGCAACCACAGACAGCAACUGUGAGGCAAAAUACGCCUUUUUUCUCUUUUUAAAUUGAUUUAUCUUGGCUGUUUGUCACAGUGGUAGAAAACUAAUACAGCCUUAGUGCGAUCAUUACGGCCACUACUGUCUUCACUCAACUACUACAAAGGGGGGGUGGGCAGGAAAGGGAAUGCAGGAAGUGAAUGUGUGGCCACCUCCUCUGGCAACAAGUUAGGGUGGGCAGGAACAGGUGUCCCACUGUGAGCUCUUGGCCUCCACCCUUCCUUCUGCGCCACUCAGCCAAACCAGCAGCAGCUGUCAAGGUCACCGUCAUCUGCUGCACUUUCCCAGGGAAAGGUGGGGCUCUGCACCUGUGCCCCAGGAAGGCCGUUCCCAGGAUCCUCACAUCUAUCUGCUCCCAUGCACUUCCCAGUGUUUUGGCUGCAGGAUGAUGCUGGGGCCGGCCACCUGGACGUUACCAUGGGAUGACUUCCCACCAGGGUACGCUGGAUAAGCUCAACCAGCCGAGUAGGUUUGCAUAGCCGCCCACUUGGUGCUGGCACUAAGAGCAGAGGGUGGGGCCUGGUUUCCAGCCACGCCCUCCCCCAGGAAAGCCUGGAGAACCCCAGGGCAAAGGAAGGUAGACCCUCUCAGUCACAACCUGGAAGGGUACAGCCGAGCAAGGUUUAUUUUUAAAACCUCCCCAGGGUGUCCUGGUGCCAGGCAACCUGGAUUGGAAACCACUCUUGUAAAGCAAUGUUUUUGUGCACAAGGAAGAGCCUAUGCCACAGAGGUGUUCCGUCAAGUUCAGGGUCACCUGCAGCCCCUUUUGGGUGCAUUGUUACAAGGGGCCAGUUGGGGGGGGCUUUUCUUAGAGGGAGGCUGCAGGUGGGGGC
ensembl:lncRNA